CCUACGGGAGGCAGCAGUGGGGAAUAUUGGACAAUGGGCGCAAGCCUGAUCCAGCAAUUCCGCGUGGGUGAAGAAGGUCUUCGGAUUGUAAAGCCCUUUCGUUGGGGACGAUGAUGACGGUACCCAAAGAAGAAGCCCCGGCUAACUUCGUGCCAGCAGCCGCGGUAAUACGAAGGGGGCUAGCGUUGCUCGGAAUGACUGGGCGUAAAGGGCGCGUAGGCGGCACAACUCGUCAGGCGUGAAAUUCCUGGGCUUAACCUGGGGGCUGCGUUUGAUACGGUUGGGCUAGAGGAUGGAAGAGGCUCGUGGAAUUCCCAGUGUAGAGGUGAAAUUCGUAGAUAUUGGGAAGAACACCGGUGGCGAAGGCGGCGAGCUGGUCCAUUACUGACGCUGAGGCGCGAAAGCGUGGGGAGCAAACAGGAUUAGAUACCCUGGUAGUCCACGCUGUAAACGAUGUGCGCUGGAUGUUGGGUAACUUAGUUACUCAGUGUCGUAGCUAACGCGAUAAGCGCNCCGCCGUGGGUAGGUACGGCCGCGAAGGUUAGUAAACGUUAAAGGUAAGUUAGACGGCGUGAGACGNGCCGAACGGACGACGACGAGGGGAGUAGG
rnacentral:rRNA from 1 species